UCUUAAUCUGGCCAUGGCCCCAGCUACCUAGACAGAGUCAGACACUGGCUCCAAGACCAGAGAAACCCCAGCAAAGGGCAGCCAGUUUCUGGGCAGAGUGAAGCCACCGGCUCCCUCUGGCUUGCAGCUUCUCCUUUCUGAAGUGGGUGGGCAGUUUUUGGCCAACCUUUUGCCUCGUUCUCUCCAGCCGCCCCUGCUAACUCCCAGUAAUUUGCCAAAAUUAACAGAUUUAUGGCAGCACGUUGGUUUGGAUCAACUUUUCGUAUGUACUUUGCAAGAGAAAAACAUUUUCUUCUCCCCGACUUACUGUUUGCCCAUUAAUACGCUCCACAUUCACUGGUGCCUAAUGACUGUUCAAAUUUUCUCUGUUCAUAGAGAAUGUUCUUGUUGUGAUUAAGGGUGCCAGGGUGCUUGCAAGUACAAACACACCAAAGCCAUAAAAAGGGCAAUUAAUUCUUUAAAAAAAAUGCAAGAGAGUGGGAGAGAUUAGAUGCUCUGUUUACAGAAGAGCAAGAAAGAAAACAGAUAUUUCUAAGAAGUGUCCUUCCAGGACAGCAAUGUCUCCAGUAAACCACUGGAAAAGAUGUUGAAACAUGAAUGUUCAUGGAAAAUGCUGUCCAGCAGACAUUUGGUUAUUCAGCGACCAUGUGUCAACUACUCAUUAUGGGUCUGGCUCUGGGAUAAUUCGUAAAGGAAGGCACAGGGUGUGGGUGAAGUGAACAUCUGGGCCAGGACUGAAAUCCCAGCUCUAGAUAAGUCAUCCCUUGCCUCUGAACCUCAGUUUACCCAUCUGAAAAAUAGGAGAUGGAAAUCCCAAGGGUGGCUAUCAAAAUUUAAGAGGGACGUGUGUAUCAAGGGCUUUGUUUGCUGCUGGCACAUAGUAGGUGUACAAGAACUGCCUGGUUCAUCAUUCGUUCAUGCUCCUGAACAAGUCAGUGGCCAUUUUAAUGGCUUUGGUGUGUUUGUACUUGCAAGCACCCUGGCACCCUCAAUCACAGCGGCAGCACUGUCUAACACCAGAGUACCUUCUCUGGGCCAUGCCAUGGGUCUGGGUUUAGAAGUUAUAACUCCGAGAAAGGCAAGUUUCUGCACAUGUACAGCUCACGAUCCAACCGUGGGAGACAGAAGCUACUAAACAUCUGCAAUGGGGAUGUGUCCAGUAGUGAUAAAUGCUUAAAGGGAAAUCGAACAAAUUAAGAGACGAGAUAAGGCCCUGCUGGGCUGUGUUAGAUGAUGUCAUCAGGGGCCUGGGGAGGCAGGCCAGUGAGGUGACGUGUGCAGACACGUGAGUCGGGUGUUGAUAUCUUCCUCCAUCCCUCUCAUCUUUCUGAAAAGUAUGCUUAGGAAGCCCUGGCAAAGGACGGCGGCAAGUUGGCCUGUGCUCUAGCACUUGCUGCAUGUUGUGAGAACUCUUAAAACAAAGGCCAGGACACACCCAGUGAGUGUUUCCCUUCCAGAUAAGAAAAAUAUCCUGAGCACCUGCUAUGCGCCAAGCGUUGUGCUCAGUAGUACGGGCGCAACUGCAGGGAAACCAGACGUGGUGCCUCCCUGCCUCCUGGCAUUUAGAGCCUAGACGGAGGGCUGUAAAUAACUACAGGCGCCAUGAUUAUUUCAUCCCAAACUGUGGCUGGUGUUGUCGGGAAGGAGCAGCAAUCUUCGAGACCCGGGGGGGUGGGGGGGGUCCUGUUGGAGCAGACACCAGCAGAGGGAUCCUCCCAGGAAGUGACAAUGAAACUUGAAAAGAAAGAAGACAAUGGACUCUUUCUGGUGAGACCCAGAGCACCCCGCCUGCAAGGAGCCCAAUCUUCCCUGAACCAGGACCCUGCCUAGAGGCUGACAGGAGAAGAGGGAGUAAGAACGGUGCUCCAGACCGAGCUCACUGGAAGCCCAGCUCAGCCACUGCCUCGCUGUGUCAUCUUGGGCUUUCACUGCAGGUACCUGAGACUGUUUGCUCGCCCAUAACAUUGGAACGUGUUAUGGAUUAAAUUGCUUCCCCCCAAAAUAUGUUGAGGUCUUAACUGCUGGAAAGGUGACCUGCGUUGGAAAGGGGCCUUUGCAGGUGUCAUGAGUGAAGGUGAAGUCACACUGGCGUAGGCUGGGCCCUAAAUCCAAUGGCUGUUAUUUUUCUAAGAAGAGGGAAAUUUGGACACAGACACACAAAGAGGAACAACCAGCGUGUGAAGACAGAGGUAGAGAUUGGAGUGAGGCGGCCACAAGCCAAGGAGACCACGGAGCUCCCAGAGGCCAGAAGAGGCAAGGGAGGCUCCUCCCCUAGAGGCUACAGAGGGAGCACAGCCCUGCCAGCAUCUGGAUUCAAGACUUCUGGCCUUCAGAACUGGGAAAGAAUACAUGUCUGCUGUUCCAAGC